rnacentral:rRNA from 1 species
CAACCUGCCCCUGACUCUGGGAUAAGCGCUGGAAACGGCGUCUAAUACUGGAUAUGUGACGUGACCGCAUGGUCUGCGUCUGGAAAGAUUUUUCGGUUGGGGAUGGGCUCGCGGCCUAUCAGCUUGUUGGUGAGGUAAUGGCUCACCAAGGCGUCGACGGGUAGCCGGCCUGAGAGGGUGACCGGCCACACUGGGACUGAGACACGGCCCAGACUCCUACGGGAGGCAGCAGUGGGGAAUAUUGCACAAUGGGCGCAAGCCUGAUGCAGCAACGCCGCGUGAGGGAUGACGGCCUUCGGGUUGUAAACCUCUUUUAGCAGGGAAGAAGCGAAAGUGACGGUACCUGCAGAAAAAGCGCCGGCUAACUACGUGCCAGCAGCCGCGGUAAUACGUAGGGCGCAAGCGUUAUCCGGAAUUAUUGGGCGUAAAGAGCUCGUAGGCGGUUUGUCGCGUCUGCUGUGAAAUCCGGAGGCUCAACCUCCGGCCUGCAGUGGGUACGGGCAGACUAGAGUGCGGUAGGGGAGAUUGGAAUUCCUGGUGUAGCGGUGGAAUGCGCAGAUAUCARGAGGAACACCGAUGGCGAAGGCAGAUCUCUGGGCCGUAACUGACGCUGAGGAGCGAAAGGGUGGGGAGCAAACAGGCUUACAUACCCUGGUAGUCCACCCCGUAAACGUUGGGAACUAGUUGUGGGGUCCAUUCCACGGAUUCCGUGACGCAACUAACGCAUUAAGUUCCCCGCCUGGGGAGUACGGCCGCAAGGCUAAAACUCAAAA